ensembl:lncRNA
CUCGGCUUUUAGCUUCAUACCUCUACCCACCCCACCCAUUAGGUCACAUCCAGCAAUAACUGCAUCCCUACCAUCCACCGUGGCCUCCACAGAGGCAAUAAAGACAAUUAUAUUAAGCGACCAUUUGAGAUCCUAUUAAGUUUUGGUUGGCUAGAGUCUCUUGGUUUGGGUUUGCGAAGUGUGGGAGGCUCUGAUGCACUGCCACGUGUAACUGACAUCACAUCUCUCAGGUCGUGACUGUCUGCAGAUGGACAUAUUCCAGGUCAGGUCGUGUCCGGAUGUUAAACGUCAUUGAAUGCUCUUCCUGAGCUUCCUGAGCUUGGGAGUGACAGCCAAAACUGGUUUGUGUCAGAAUAAUGUGGACUUAAAGCCCUUUAUAUAAGGAUGUCUGAGACCAUCCACUUGUUCACUCUCUAUAUGCUAUAUUCUCUAUAUAAUUCACUCUCACUGAAUGGAGUUAACCAAAAUGUCAGAUGAUUCAGACAUUUAUCAACAACACUGACAGCAUAGUAUACAUGGCUAUAUCCAAAAUCAUUCCUUUUCAUCUAUUCUUACUUUCUUUAUAACAACACUAAACAGUCUGCUAGCAAAUUUAUCAUUCAUUAUCACUGAAAAUUGGUGCUGUCAUUUUUGAGGACUGUAUAGCAUUCACAGAAAGUAGGACAUGACUUGAUUUUUAAUAGUUUAAUUUUUAAGGCAUUAUAUAGCGGAUGACUGACACAUAAAUGAUCCAGACACUGAAAUAAAAUCGAUAAACGCAGUGCACUUUAACGAGGGAGUGGUUUUUGACGCAGCAAGAGUCUCACGCAGCCUUUAUUUUGGCCUUAAUUGAGUGAGUCUAGAAAUCGCCUCAGGGCUAAAAAGUACAAACAGUUUUCAAUGUGAAACAUCAUUUAAAAAAAGCUCUGAAAAGAGUGCGUGCUCGUGUGUGUGGUUCACUGCUGGAGGGUAGCACCACUCAAUGAUGUCUCUAUCCCGCCUGGACUUCCCGGACUCUUUUGGGAAUUCAACCCAGCAGCACUCCAAUCACCAGCUGGCUCCUGUAACCUGCUGCGAGUGCUAGAUGUCUGCUGCGACAGCCCAGGAAACAAGAAAAGCUGGUUAAUGUCCAGAGUUAUCCUGCAGCCAUCAGAAGAUGGGUGCACUGAGGUCGUCAGAGGAUGGACUUGAUCACCAACGAUACUUGGGCUACUCAGGUAGGCUGUGGUAUUUAAAUGAUCAGUUGGUACUAAGAAGCCCAGUGUGUGCCAAGAAAAUAUCUCCGUAAAUGCACUGGGUUCCUGACAUGUGAUUGGCUGCUUAAAUAUUUGUGUUAACAAACAACAGAACAGGUGUACCUUACAAAGUG